rnacentral:misc_RNA from 1 species
GAUGAAGAACGCAGCGAAAUGCGAUAAGUAGUGUGAAUUGCAGAAUUCAGUGAAUCAUCGAAUCUUUGAACGCACAUUGCGCCCCUUGGUAUUCCAUGGGGCAUGCCUGUUCGAGCGUCAUUUGUACCUUCAAGCUCUGCUUGGUGUUGGGUGUUUGUCUCGCCUCUGCGCGUAGACUCGCCUCAAAACAAUUGGCAGCCGGCGUAUUGAUUUCGGAGCGCAGUACAUCUCGCGCUUUGCACUCAUAACGACGACGUCCAAAAGUACAUUUUUACACUCUUGACCUCGGAUCAGGUAGGGAUACCCGCUGAACUUAAGCAUAUCAAUAGCGGAGGA